AGUGCCGACUCCUCGCUGUCCGCCUCUCAUCUGCUCUGUGCAGGAGCGACCAGGACUGAGUCCAGAGGCUCUUACUGCAGUCUGCCCCUUUCCCUGCUGAAACGCGGAGGUGUGGGGUCAUUAACAGGGCAGAAAAAGUUCAAAGUGAACAUGUGAGGUCUCCAGUGACUCUUCAAGCAAGGUUACGAGAGCAUUAGCCUUCCUGGUGGCUUAAAGUCCCUUUUCACAGCUGACUAAACAUAAAUGGCACCGGUUUAACAAAGAGACACAGAUGGCAGAACUGAUUAUAGUCCACACCGAAUGAGGAGAUUGAUUCAACAAGCGCAUCACUUCAAAGUGGAAGAUGGCUUCUACUCUGUAAAUGCACAGGAAACAUGAAGCCACGCUGAGGUACCAUUGUAUAACAGAAGUCAACUACAAUGUUCAAACACUCAAAUAUCAUAGACUUACUUUUAAAAGAGAGUCCGAAAUGUGGAAGACCGGAGAGAAUCACACCCUGAAAUCAAGGAGCACAUUGGCAAAGCCAGUGCUUCUUAACAGAGAGAAAAAGCAAAACUAUUCUUUACAUCAUCGUCUUAGAUGGCUCAACUUCAGAGGGUUUAGCUUUUAAGACCACACAGAGAAGCAUUUUAGCAUUAGAUUCUGCAUAGCUUUCAACUCUGAGCUGUGACCUUUGGGGAAGCACAGUGGGAGGAGCUUGCAGUAAUAACUCCUGGUAUAUAUAAUGCUUUGGUUUGCUGCAUUUUGUAUAUGAAAAAGCUAUAUAAAAAAACAAAUUACAUUCUUAUUCUGUUUCCCCUCACUGUUCCUCUUUAAUGCAAGAGUGUUCUUAUUGGCUCCAGUAAAAAGGUUCUCAAGUGUGUUUUAGGCAGAAGCAGGAAAUUUGCUUUCCUAGUGGAUCAAACAGAGCUGGCACUAAUGAUACAGCAUAGGGAAAGGGAAAAAAAAAAAAAAAAAAAAGAAGAAAAAAGAAAUGUUUAACACUCAGCACUAGAGUAGAGUGAAAACAGAGCACACUUUGAAGAGUUUCCUUGCUGCAGCAUAGCCCUGUGUAGGAGAGUUUCCACAGUCGGAUUCAAAACAUUUUGAAGUUUCUCUGUUUGUUUAAUUUUCAGGUCGAGUUUUGGCACUCUGCUAUGAUUGACACAAUAUAAAAGAAUAAAGGCCCAAACAAGGCAAAAGGAAAAGAAAAAAAAACACCUUAGGAAAGUGUGAGACUCAGUAAAUCAAGCUAAGAAGUAGGCAGUCUGGGUGCCUUAAGGACUGGUGAAAAGUUGCAUCUUAGACCACAAGAUGGUUAUCUACAGAUAGGCCUCCUUCUAAUAACCAAAUGUCAUAGCCUAGUUGGGAACUAAGAAAUUAUUUCCUUAAAAUCGAUCCUAAUUAUAGGAUCGAUUAUAGGGCCUGUAAAAAAUAAGAAUAGAGCUAGAAUGCUAAAUGGCAGAGUAAACCAGCGGAAUAGCAUAAACUACCAUUCUGAAAGUUUGUUAUUGAAAUAAUUUAGUUAAUAUGGUUAUUGCCACUGCAAAUGCCUCUCCUCUCAAUCGUGAGUCUCCAAAGAGGAAAUGAAAAACUGGAAAUUCAAACUCCCAAUUUCUUGGCAUUAGAGACUCCCUUUAUUACCAUUUUGGAUUGCACAUACUCUGACAAUUUGUGAACACAUUCUACAAGUUCUAAACUACGGUGCUUCCAUACAGAAGCACAGGCAUACAUUAUAAGUGGAGCCUGAUCAACUGAUCAACCCUGUGAGAAAUGAGUAUGGGCACCAGAGAUGGACACUGUCUCCCUGCAGAGAUGUUGCAGCACUUACACUAAGGCAUGCAGACAGGUGUGGGCUCAUUUAAAAGCGGAGGGUACAAAUGAACACGGCAGUGGGCAGAGUAGCUCAGAUGAAAAUUUCACAGUGUCCAGUGAAAACAGCCUACAGUAAGUACCCAGGGAAGAAUAAAUGAACAGCCACAACAUACUAAUAUACUUCCAAUUUAGAUCUUUACCUAAGAAACAUCAUUCUAGGAGCCUUGCUCCAAAAGUAAUGCCUCCUGUUUUAUUAUGUUGGCUCACAACAUCAGAGGCAGAUGUUGGUGGUACAGCAAGAGGUUGAACCUUCCCACCAACAUUCCAUUACAUUUUGCUGCUGUGUUACAGAUGGCAGCAGAGCAACAGUAUGACAAAAUGGCAUCAAACAUGGAAGUGCAUAUUAGACAAAAGCGUGUCAUUGAAUUCCUUCAUGCAAAAAACAGCACCCUUUGACACCCACUGAUGCUUGCUGAACAUUUAUGGGGACCAAACAGUGGAUGUGAGCACGGUCAGGAGGUGGGUGGUAUGUUUCAGCAGUGGUGACAGCGACAGUGUGUCACCCCCACUGGUGCAGACUGCUCUGAGUAUGGCAUAUAGGCUCUUGUUAUUACUGGCGAUCAUGCAAAACCAACGGUGGUGACCAUGCUGAAAAACAGUGCUUGGGGGCUGAGAAUUUGCUCUAUCAAAAAUCGCUAUGUGCUCUUUGUAUUUGUUGUAGUUUCCAUGGACAUAAAUAGGAGGCACUGUUUUGAAGCAAGGAAUCAAUACACUGUAAAAACUUAGAUUUUAAUUUCCAGAAUGAAAAUACUGGAGUUGAUUACGACAGCAUCAGAACAAUAAAAGCCUUAGUGGAGUGGUUCA